rnacentral:rRNA from 1 species
UAGGGAAUCUUCGGCAAUGGACGAAAGUCUGACCGAGCAACGCCGCGUGAGUGAAGAAGGUUUUCGGAUCGUAAAACCUCUGUUGGUAGAGAAGAACGUUGGUGAGAGUGGAAAGCUCAUCAAGUGACGGUAACUACCCAGAAAGGGACGGCUAACUACGUGCCAC